GAUGAACGCUGGCGGCGUGCUUAACACAUGCAAGUCGAACGACGAAGCCCAGCUUGCUGGGUGGAUUAGUGGCGAACGGGUGAGUAACACGUGGGCAACCUGCCCCAAACUCUGGGAUAACUCCUCGAAAGAGGUGCUAAUACCGGAUACGAACUAGACAGACAUCUGUACUAGUUGGAAAGUUUUUCGGUUUGGGAUGGGCCCGCGGCCUAUCAGCUUGUUGGUGAGGUAACGGCUCACCAAGGCUACGACGGGUAACCGGCCUGAGAGGGCGACCGGUCACACUGGGACUGAGACACGGCCCAGACUCCUACGGGAGGCAGCAGUGGGGAAUAUUGCGCAAUGGGCGAAAGCCUGACGCAGCGACGCCGCGUGAGGGAUGAAGGUCUUCGGAUCGUAAACCUCUUUCAGUAGGGACGAAGCGAAAGUGACGGUACCUAAAGAAGAAGCACCGGCUAACUACGUGCCAGCAGCCGCAGUAA
rnacentral:rRNA from 1 species